CCUCUUGUCAAGAGACAUUUAAACAAAAGUACACUUCACUAACUUUGACGACUGAUGAGGAUCCUGGAUACUUCUUUUCAGUGGCACACAUAAGGUAACAUGAUUCACGAUUCGUGUUAUUUAUAUGCUCUACACACAAGCUAUGAUGGACGGAGCAAAGAGUCCAUGCAGAUGCUCAUCCAUGCAGAGGCACACACAUGCAUUUCCCAAAGGACAUCUAGCUCCCUUCCAAUAAAAUGAGAAAACUGAGGUACACAACAUAUUUCUCUCCCUGCCUCUCUAGUUCUUUUCCCCUUCUCUUCCUCCAUUUUUCUCUCUUCUUUCAUCCCUCCCCAUGCAUUUUCCACUAACAUUGUCAAGCCACACUUGGCCUAAUCAUAUAAACAACACAUUUUACAAGAUCUGAUCUUCAGCAAUAUUCCUAAUUGGAUAGUCACUUGUGCUGGGAUUAUUCUUAGAUUGGACUGGGCCUGUCUGGCAAACAAGUAUUGCGAAUUAACUUCAAAUCAAGUUCUAUACUCUUCGUUGCUUCAUUGUUUAAACAUGUCAUCCAAUUAUAAAUAAUAAAUCACAACAAUUGCAUUUCUUUUCCAGAUAUAAGUAUAACUAUAAUUACACAAGCUUAACAUUUUCUGUAUGGACUAGCAAAUCAAUUAUUUGCUUGGAUACUUAAAAAACGGCAAUGAUAAAUAAAAAAUAUUUAUUAUGAUCCUAAUCUGAAAUGCUCGGCCUAAAUUGUUUUCAUAAAAGCGAGUGCAUCAGCAGACCUGUAAACGAUACUUGAGAAACUCAUUUUAACAUCCAACAUAAAUGCACUAAAAUACACCAUGGUUUACCUAUUAUAGGAAAUGCAUCUGAAAGAAGUUUUGCUGUCGUAAAUUGCUUAUCGUUAUUUUUGAAAAGCUACAAGUUUUGAAAAGCAAGAAAACUACGAAUCUGAAACAGAACUGAGUAGGCUACCCUACUCUGUAGCCUUACACUUCCACGCCUAAAAUGUGUAAUUUACCUGCGCGUCCCAUACACGUAAAAACCUGCCGAUUAAACAACGUGGAAUAGAUCUGAGAAACGUUAGGUACGUUAAAGAGUCAGCACUUACUUUGGCCGUCGAAUUUUCUGAUAAUUGUAUCCAGGAAUCCCCACAGUGGGCGAGCAGCAGUGGAAGAACACAGAAGCCAAGAAGAGGUGCCAUUAAUCGAUGAAAAUGAUGCAGACUCCUACACUCUGUCUAGGGAGAUUACCAAGGAGGAAGACUUGGUGGGCCAGACAUCAAAACUCUGUAUAGAGCUUCAUCAUUAAGGUCAGAGUCAGUAGUAUUGUGACACAUUACUUAGCUUAUCACAGGCAAGCAUGCAGUUCCACACGCAUAUACACACAUUGUUUUUUUAACUACUGUGCAUUAGUUUCUAAUUAAUUUGUAUAGUUUGAUACUGUUUUCUAAUUGCCAUUAUUCAUCCAUCAAUAAUUAGAAUUUUCAAAAAUCUGUUGACGUACGUAUAUGUUAAAACUUGUAAUUUUCUCCCACUAUCGUUAAAUCCUUGCAAGGCAUUAUGGCCUUGUACUGGUAGCCAUGACUACAUGGGGCCCAUGGCUACAGCCCAGAUCUCAAGCGUCAAUGUGGCUGCUGUUCCUUUUAUGACAGCACUUAGGUGUACAUACAGGACACCGUAGUCACCAAUGAGAGAGCGAGGACAUAGGUCUAUGUCCAAGGCCACCUGUCAGUUUUUAUCUUCUCUAAAGCCUCAUUAAUACAAAGUUCUCCUACCUGAAAAUAUCCUCAUGAACGCUCCUAUCUGCUCAUAUACUGGCAGCCAGUAAACUAAACAUCUAUUGUCUAAGAAAGAAGUAGCUGAAGGGUAGAACAUAAAUGGAUCCUUGUUUUGUCUUUGACAAAUUGUUAUGUCUAGUUUCAGUUAAAACAUUGGAAGUGUGGGCUUAUUUUGUUUUCCGGGGGUUAGUGUGUACUUGUCAUCUGAGACACAGAAGGCAGAGAUCUGAUGAGUUCUGUCAUGUGGGUCUCAGUGCGUGUCAUUUUCAGCAAGGGCAAUCAUAAUAACAUUUUAAUUAUUCACUGAGCGCUUGUGUUGUUAUCCUUGAUUUCCGUGACCCACAAUGGGUGCAGCCAGGUGUUGUGAUACUAGCCAACUUUCAUGCCUGGUCUGGACACUUCCUAAAUAUAUUAUGAAUUAUUGAUUACCUUUAAACAGAACAAAACAAGCACCCAUACACGCAAGGAUGGUUUGCCUUGCCCAUGAAAACUCCUGAAAAUUGACAUAAGUAUCUAUAAAACAAUGUUUGUUUUUCUACAAAAUAGGCCAUUAAAUGAUUGUAGUAAGCUUUGAAGGUGUAUGGUUGCCACAGCAAGUUUAACAACCCUCCAUGUUUUGACUCUUACAUUGGGGCACUGUAAAUCACUGUGGAGGAAUGAAUAUAAGGAAUAUAUGUGAGGUCUGAUAAUGUUCAUAUUAAUUUUACCCAGUACCAGGUGUCUAUCAGGUUUUGAAAGGCUGUAAUCAGCUGACAGUGACAGAAGCUAUUGAAGUGAACAGACUGACCUUGUUGCCUACAGUUCAAAAAGGCUGUCAGCAGGUAAGGUUUAUCUACUGUAAAAAACUGUACAAAGGUACAAGACAACAUUCAAUAUAAAUAUACAUGUUGUUAGCAAGAAAAUGAUAAAUAUAAAUGUAGCUACAGUAUAUCCUCAGGACUAACUACUUAUUUAUCCCUGUACCUAUCAUUUGAAUAGCACUGAACCAGAGUUGUUCCAUGGUACUGGCAAAAGUUAUGCGACUAAGUCAUGAAUCCCACUUUGUGAAAUACUCUUAUUAUAGUUGUGUUUUCAAAGAUAACACAUUUUUAUGUUUGUAUGUAUGGUGUAUGUCACAUGGUGUAUGCUGUGCUCGUACAAGAGUGUUCUUUGCUCUGCUUGCAGUGAAUACUAGAAAGAGGGACGAUGAAACCAAUUCUAUUUGGGUAAAGACAAAAAAAUUCAAGGAAUUUUGUACAAUAUAGAGAUCAAUUGCAUCAUGUUGCUUUAUUGUGUUUAAUUGGUUAUAAUGCUGUCACACCUAAGAAUAAGAAUGGUAUAAUGGUCUGUUUGUUACUGUUUUUAAAACACAUUAGUUGGAUUCUGUUGAACUUUGCUAGAAGGUGCAGAAGUCUAAAAUAACCUAGAGUUGGGUAAAGGCACUGGGUCAGAUUGCUGUGACUGAGUGAAUUGCAGAAGGGGAUGUGACGCCAGAACGGUUGAGGUCGAGGAAAUAAGAGAAAGAGAAACAGUCAUCUCAGAAGGUGUGAUUAGCUUAAAAAAAGUACAAAGCUAACUUCAGGCAGAAAAACAUCCUACGUAUAAUCAGUGAAGAGAAACUAUAUGUGGCUCAGCCCUUAUUUAUCUUUUUCUGACUUUCCGUGAGGUGCACCGGAGGUGGAGGUUCAUAGCGCCUACCAAACCAAGAUCAACCUCCACUGAGCACCCUGCUGCAGGAUGACGUACUGCACUCCUGUGUGAUGGAACAGCAUGCUACCUCGGCACUCUCAGCACUAAUGGGCCUGAGUGAGCUCAGUCAUUAGCUCAGGGCUGGACUGGUGCUUGGACUGUAAUCCCUGUGAACAUAAACACCCAUGUUCAGCACACACCACGCCUGCAAAGGAACCAGGCCGUCCCUCGUCAGGACUGUCCCGACCAUUCACUUCCUUGGAAAAUUUCUCUCUCGUGAGCCCUGUUACUAGGAAUUCCCCUAUCUCUGAUGCCUUCAAAAUGUUUGCGUCAGUGUGAGGACAGUCUUUUUAAGGACCUACUGUGCACUCACCCAGAGGCUAGGAAGCCUGGAAAGGGGGUGUCGGCAUCAGGGGCAUCACCCUUACAUUUAAAGUUCUGUUAGUCAGCACAGCUCCAUAAUUCCCAUCCUCCUACGCCAGGCUCCUGAGCUGCCACUGUAUAGAUGUUAAUAGCAUGGGUUUACUGCUCUCCACAAGACAAAUCACUCCGCCCUCUCCCAAGUGAGUUUUUCUCAGAGACGAAAAAGACACACAGAGACAGAGAACAGAGAAACAGAAUGACCUGACCUGCCUGAAAGAGGAAGAAGGGGAUGCAAUGAUGGAGAAGAUUGAGGGGUGACAGCUGGGUUUUUGGAGAAGGGGAUUUUUCCGGUGGAAUGGGUGAAGACCUGGGACCAAGCAAAACUCAAUUACACCUUUCAUCCUACAAAGUGGUAGAAUAGAUAGGAAGUGAACUGUGAGGGAGUAACACCUACCUGAGCCCUACUUCAACCUACUGACAAACACGUGCAGGUUACAAAGUUUAAUGCCAGUCUCCGUCGGUGCCGGAGGUUCGUUUGGGCACCGUUCCUGUCUCACUGCUUAUUAAGUAAAAAAAUCCUAUUACAUUAGCCUGCUCCCCAGCAUGGGCUGAACCGUCCAUCGCCGCCAUCCGACUCGCCACCUGCUGAAGUGGGGCAGCUCAACACGAAGCCCUUCUUGCCUCGCCAUGCUGCCCCCAGGAAUUGAGUCUCACUGCCCUCACAUAAACCUCCCCCAUUAAUGCUGUGCUGUGGGGCAUUCCGGAAAAUUCUGUUUUUGUGUGUGCCCGCAACUGUGUGUGCACAUCUGUGUCUGUGCCAAAUGGGGGCUAAUUUGAUGAAGGUUAGGGGUGCGUGAUGUGGAGAUAUCAUCAAGGUCCCAGGUGAGGAGGAAGAUCAGCGGACAGAAUGAUUGGUGGGAUGGAGCGGGUCAGCGAAGGUCACAGCAGUCUGGUGUUACGGGGAAGCGUCUGAGGGUUAGCUGCGGCACGCGCCGUGCUCCAGGAAUCAGGGCAUGUCCUUCCUCUCCGCCAUGGACUCCUUAAUGAUCUGAAACACAAGCAAACAUGGCCGGUGUAUAAAUAAGAUGGAUUAUGAGGAAGGUGUGUGUGUGUGUGUGCGCGUGUGUGUGUGUGUGUGUACGUAUGUGCGUGCAUGCCUGUAUCCGUGCAUGUAUUCAUGUAUGUUGAAUAUUUACGUGUGUGCAUGUAUGUUCUUGUGCCUGUGCAUGCAUAGAAUUUAUUGGGGAAUGAGAGAGCACAAACACCUUGUCAACAUGCAUAUCCCAAGCUCUACAGCUUUCAUUAUUUACCUCAGCCUGUAGUUUUAUUCAAGCUAAUAUGGAAUAAACGAGUCAGUGAGAAUA